CAUCCCAGCCGCCACACGACCGACCUUCAACGUUGAAAUAUGGUUGAAAUAAGGUCAGAUGUGUUUUGAACGUUGAAAUAAUGUUGAUAGAACGUUUAAUGUUGAACGGUUGAAAAACAGCCUGCAUAUGACAAGGCUUCAACGUUGAAAUGUGGUUGAAAAUACGUCAGUUGUUUAAUGUUGAAACAAUGUUGAAUGAUAAAUGGUUAAAAAAAGUUACAGAAAUCCUUGUACAAAUCAACGUUGACAUUUUUUUAUCAUGGUCUGUAUGUUGAAUUAACGUCAUGGCUUCACCCAAUAUUCAACAUGUUUGGUUACCAUGGUAUCGGAGGACUCGGCGCACGCGGCCACGCGCAGCGCUUCACUUCACUUAAUUACGAACACCUGACCUGCAGUGCAGCAGAAUUCAGAGGUAAGCGUGUUUUUAGAUGCUUUAAUGUUUUAUUUACCCCCCGAUUUUGUUUUACACACAGUGUAUCUUAAAUGUGACUUGGUGUAGUGUUUCGAAUUUUGAAGCAUUUAAAACUUUCCAGUUUGUUUUUAGUCUUGUUUGCGCUCCGGUGACGCAGCUAACCUCAAGGUAAUGUCAAAUGUUUAACGUUAGUCUAAAUGAGCGUUUUUAUGGCAAAUUCAAAGCGAUAAACUCCAAACGCAGUUUAAAGUUACUGAGCAACGUUAUAAAACAAUAUCCAUUUUAUACGCUGUAUUAUUAGUGUUAUUAUUACAAAGUGAACUGCUGUCGUUUCACUGUUGUUGUUGUUUUUGCUUUUAGACAUGUAACUUACUCCAGAGACGCACUAACUUGCACAGCAUUAAAUGGAAAAGGCUUUGUCCAUGUCCAGUUGAGGGGCAUCAAGAACACGCAGAUAGCCUACCUGUGUCAGCCUGGACAGACUGCAGUUCUGCUACUCCAUGCCAAGGCUUUUGUAUGGAUGUCUUGACUACUACUGUGUUCUCUAAAGGUUUUCUGGAGGCUCCAUUUGAGGGCAUCAAGGACAUACUGAUGGCCUAAACCAGUGUCAGCCUAGACAGACAGGCAUCUAUUGCAGUUCUGCUACACAAGACCAAACUCUCUGCUUUUGUAUGGAUGUCUGACUAGUACGGUGUUCUCUAAAGGUAUAACUGGAGCAAAACAAUAGCAUCCGUUACAGUGAAAUUUGUGUUCAUAAAAGAUAGUGAUAUGUGUAACAGGUCCAGUACAUUUGUCAUAAAGGUAAAAUCACAGUAAGUACUGUAAAAAUAACUUGUUUGCCUUUGCCACAACAGGUCAUGGUGUGUGCUUACUGCUCGUAGUAAACAC
ensembl:processed_transcript